ensembl:lncRNA
GUUUGUUUCUUGGACACAGAUUAAGCUUAAUCCUGGACUAAACACUUUCAAUGGAGAUUCUCCAUUGAGCAUGCUUUUGUGUCCAGGACAAGGCUCAAUCUGUGACUGGGAAAGUUCAGAUAAAGGCAUUGGUUUUCAUCAUAUCACAUUCAAUCAUCAACUCCUUUCAGUGCUCAUGAAGAGAUGAGGAAAUGAGCUGAGCUGAGGAAAGGAGAGAAGCAAAGGAUACUUGGAAAGGAGUGAGGUGAGGAGGAUAGUGGAUAUCCAAGCCUAUUGGCACACAGCCCUUGUAUUUAUUGUAAUAGAUACUUUCUGAGUUUCAGAAUAAGAGCGUGUGAGCAGACACAGAGAGCAUGGGCUCCUGAGUUCUUCUGCAAAUAGAUGGAUUUACAGGUGGAUAAACGUAGAUAAACUUUUUUCACAGGGACUUGUGCAGGAUACUAACCUCAACAUCAAAAACUACAUUCCAAGUCACAAUUCCAAACCUAGAACCUUGAUUUUGGACAAAAUUACCUGAAUGGACUACUGCUACCAAGGAUUAUCAAUAAGGGAACUUCUAACAGACCAAGACCUGCAGAGGAAACAUGGCGGAACAUGGAAAUACCAUCCAGCACAAAACUGAGUGAGCAGUGUUCAGUCUGGACCUAUUUGUGAAACCAAAAAUGUGGACAUCGACAUCAAACUGAGGUCCUGCCAAGAAUCAUGCAACAGGACCUUUGCUUUCCUUAUCGACCACGACAGUUACCGGUCACAACAGGACCUGAUGACCAAAUUCAAUAACAAUACCAAGCAUCAGAAGAAGAACUCCCCUGUUAAAGACAUCCUGAAGAUCAAACUACAACCAGUGAAUGUCGAUCCUCCACCGUUGUUCAGCUACAAAACCAUCCCCAUCAUCCACAAGGAACUCCUGACUCAGUUUGAGGACCUAGAACAGAACGAGGUGGUUCUAGAAGACGUUCUAGAAUAAAUGGAAUGUCUGGGUUCCGUAGGGGUGACAGCCUUUCAAGAAUGUUAAUAAACCAAGAGAGAACUCUCUUGCUGGAUAACCAAAAUAUUAUUUUGAAUAGUAUAUUGUGUCAUAUUGUACCCUUAUCACUUAUAUUAAAGGAAUAUUGCAUAUUGUUUAACUACAAUUACCUGUAUAUGUAUGAUAUAAACUUAGC